rnacentral:rRNA from 1 species
CACGUAGGGGGCGAGCGUUGUCCGGAUUUAUUGGGCGUAAAGAGCUCGUAGGCGGUUCGGCAAGUCGGGUGUGAAAUUUCGAGGCUCAACCUCGAAACGCCACUCGAUAUUGCUGUGACUGGAGUCCGGUAGAGGAGUGCGGAAUUCCUGGUGUAGCGGUGAAAUGCGCAGAUAUCAGGAAGAACACCCGUGGCGAAAGCGGCUCUCUGGAACGGUACUGACGCUGAGACGCGAAAGCGUGGGGAGCGAACAGG